GCUGAAAAAAAUAUGAGAGACCCACACUAUAUAUUUUUGACAAGGAAUCACCCCUUAAAUUUUUUCCCAACCAUUCAUUUACACCCGUAUAUUGUCAAAAAUUCUCCUUCAUUAUGAAGCUUGAUUGGAGCUUAUAUUUGAAGAAUACGUGUAAAAAAACUUUGAAAUGGAUUUUGGUCAGAAAAUUCACCCUGCAAAAUAAACAGCGGUGAAAUACAACAAAAACAUCAACGAUCUUACCCAACUUUCGGAUUGAUACAUUUGUAAUACUUAAGCAACUAUGCAAGUUCAAUUUCUGCAUUUCCUGUAGAAUAAACAAUAACUCCUGCUUCCAAUAUUAGCAAACAAAAACAACUGUUCCACUACUAACAUUGUUACAUUAUGAACCUGUAAUUACAAAUAGUACUUUCGUGUGAUUUUUAUCACCUUUCAAGCUAUAUUCCUGGCUGUUAUUUCAAAAUCGUAUGAGUUAUGAACAAUCCACAACAAUGCAAUAGUUCGGUUACUACAGAACCAAGUUAUGAAGAAGAACAAGUGAGAAUUAAUUCUACUGUGAGACAGAUUCAAUUCAAACCAAUUUUUUCGGAAUAAAUAUAUUUUGCAUAUGCUAUAAGGAAACAUGGGCCUGAAGGGUGUUUGUGGAAAGACGAUAACAAACAUGUCUUAUUACGCCUUCCUCUUUGGCUUAAACGUCUGCUUUGGAUGCGUCAUAUUUUUUAUGGUAGUUAGACAUAUGUUGGCCAACAUGAACUCUGCCAAUGGGAAAAGGUACCGGUACGCCUUAUCCUGAGAUCUUCCUUAUAGGCGAUAUAAAUUAUUCAACAAAGUUAAACUUGUGAUAAAAUAAGUCUGAAAAGCGGUUUUCCUUGUUAUACAAGGGUAUUUAUUAGUCUUCUGAUGUACGAAAAUUGGAAUAUUCUGUGUUGUACAUGGAUAUGUUGUUCUGUCAAAUUGUAACUAUUCUACAAUAGGUGAUGACCUUCAAACGUCAUUUACCCAUUUCAAUUUAUGUUGUGACUGUAAAAAUGUUGAUUGUUUAAUAAAUUAUCUUUGACCAUACGAA